AUGAGGUAUGAACAGCAGAAGGCAGUAGUCCUGCUCGAAGCACUUCAUGAUUGGACUCAUCUCCGUCUUCAGGAUUUCAAGUCUAUUGGUGAGUACACUCAUGCUGUUCAUAAGAUAUGUUCCAAACUGCGCUUUUGUGAGAAGGAACCUACUGAGGGGGAGAAGAUAGAGAAAACUUUGUCUACUAUGCUUCCUUCAGAUAGGAUCCUCCAACAGCAAUACCGUGCUCGUAACUACACUGUCUAUUCCGAGCUUAUUCACAUGUUACUUCAGGCUGAAAAGCAUGAUGAGCUACUUGCUAAGAAUGGCUCUCAGCGCCCAGUUGGGGCACAACCUUUACCUGAAGUUCAUCUGAAUGUUGCAAAUAGACAAAAGUUUAAUGGUACCUCUUGA
rnacentral:rRNA from 1 species